rnacentral:rRNA from 1 species
GACGAACGCUGGCGGCGCGCCUAACACAUGCAAGUCGAGCGCUGAAGUUCUUCGGAACGGAUUAGCGGCGGACGGGUGCGUAACACGUGGGUAACCUGCCUUGUAGAGGGGGAUAGCCUUCCGAACGGAAGAUUCAUACCGCAUAACAUCUUUUUAUCGCAUGGUAGAAAGAUCAAAGGGGCAAUCCGCUACAAGAUGGACCCGCGGCGCAUUAGCUAGUUGGUGAGGUAACGGCUCACCAAGGCGACGAUGCGUAGCCGACCUGAGCGGGUGAUCGGCCACAUUGGAACUGAGACACGGGCCAGACUCCUACGGGAGGCAGCAGUGGGGAAUAUUGCGCAAUGGGGGAAACCCUGACGCAGCAACGCCGCGUGAAUGAAGAAGGCCUUAGGGUUGUAAAGUUCUGUUUACGGGGACGAUAAUGACGGUACCCGUGGAGGAAGCCACGGCUAACUACGUGCCAGCCGCCGCCGUAA